rnacentral:lncRNA from 1 species
ACAAAGAAAAACCUAACAAGUAUUCUCUCUUCAAUUUUAGGGUUUUACAAAAUCACGCAAAAAAAACCCUAAUCUGGAAAAAAAGUGGGAGGAAAGUGCCCGCACAGAAGGGUACAGAAAAGGAGAUACUCUCACAAGCAAUUUCGUCGCUCUAAAUUCCUCAUUAAAGAUAUCCUUUUUCUUGCUUUUCCAUUGUUUAUAUAUUUUGUCCUCAAUUUCUCUCCUUUAUUUACUUUUAUAGAGUUCAAUUUUCGAAUUUUUUGGUAUUUUCUUGACUCUGUAAAAGUUCACGUGACGAUGCUGUUUAUGAUGAGCUUCAAAAACCAGACGUGGAGAUUAAGUCCUUGCCUGUUGAUGAAGAUCUUCCUGGGAUGGGCCAAUUCUACUGCUUACACU